GCCGCUGAGUCGCAGGUUUCUGGAGGCCUCUCCAGCCCCUGCCAUCUGGGCACUGCUCAGACAGACGCUGCGUGGGUCCCCGGAGCUUGCCACCCCCGCGCCACGCUGCCAGCCAUGCCGAGGCGGCUGGAGGAAAGCUCCACGACCGAGAUCGCUGGACCCGGGGUGGGGGAGGUGUCAUCUCUAAAAACCAAAACCAAACAAUAACUGCCUUCAACUGGAGUACCUAAAGAGAACAAGGUUGACCACGGGCUCUGCAGAAUAUAGAAGGCAAGCCUUCAGGACUGAUGGUGAAAGAAGACUACAGAAGAAUGAGGCAUGGGACCUUCUGUAGACUCUCUUCUAGAAGAUACAAAUGGCUCAGAGGUUAAGAUCACUGGCUGUUCUUCCCAAGGUCCUGAGUUCAAUUCCCAGCAACUACAUGGUGUCUCAUAACCAUCUACGGGCUAUCUGGAGCACAUAGCUUCCGACCAUCGUCCUUGCUGAGAUCACUCAAGAGACGUGUAUCUGGACCCAGAUGCUCUCCGCGGAACACCCACCAUCUCAGAGUUAAGCAAGGCUAUGCGACUUGUCCAAAACAACAGGCUAUGUAUGGAAGUGGUGACUGCCCCUUCCAAGCCAUGUAAGAGCUGCGCCCUUCCCUCCCAGCUGUGAGGAUAGCUGAGAAAAGAGCAUUUCAUGACAGCAGUAUCUUGGGCUGCUGAGUUACCAUUGGCAGAGCUUUACUCUGAGAAUGACUCAUCAUUCAUUAGAGGUGGGGUGGUCUGCCUUGGACCUUUGAGAUGUUGGUGAGAGUGUGUGUGUGGCUUUGUGUGUGUGCUACUGAAGCAUAAAGAAUAUUA